rnacentral:rRNA from 1 species
UACGUAGGGGGCUAGCGUUGUCCGGAAUCAUUGGGCGUAAGGAGCGUGUAGGCGGCCCGGUAAGUCCGCUGUGAAAGUCGGGGGCUCAACCCUCGAAUGCCGGUGGAUACUGUCGGGCUAGAGUGCGGAAGAGGCGAGUGGAAUUCCUGGUGUAGCGGUGAAAUGCGCAGAUAUCAGGAGGAACACCAAUUGCGAAGGCAGCUCGCUGGGACGUAACUGACGCUGAGGCACGAAGGCCAGGGGAGCAAACGGG